rnacentral:lncRNA from 1 species
GGGCCAACGAACAGGCGCUGGCGUCCGGCCUGAUCCUCAUCACCGGGGGCAUCGUGGCCACAGCUGGGCGCUUCACCCAGUGGUACUUUGGUGCCUACUCCAUUGUGGCGGGCGUGUUUGUGUGCCUGCUGGAGUACCCCCGGGGGAAGAGGAAGAAGGGCUCCACCAUGGAGCGCUGGGGACAGAAGUACAUGACCGCCGUGGUGAAGCUGUUCGGGCCCUUUACCAGGAAUUACUAUGUUCGGGCCGUCCUGCAUCUCCUGUGAGUCCCCGUCCCGCACCCCCUCUAGGGCUCAGGAGGGCUUGGAGCCGACCCUCCCCACUGUCCCACCGGCCGGGCUGCCUGGACAGGAGCCACCCCCACUUACCUCAGUGUUUUUCCAAACAAAAAUUCGGGUCCCUGGCUCUGGCAGGGCCUGUGUCUGCUGUCUAGUGUGCAGGAUUUGUAAGGAUCCACUCCAAAUCCGAGGAGCUCCGAUCCGUCGCCAGGGUCUGGGGUCAGCAUGCACUGCUGGGGGGUCUUGCCUGGGCUUCCUGGUAGGGUGGAGGGUUCCGUGCUGUGUGUCUGCUGGUUACUGCCGGCUGAGGCCAGGACACCCACACGUGGCUGCUUCCUCCGAGCAAGUGCACCAGAGCCGCUAGUGUCCACAUCAAGGCUGAGAACACCCAGGACCGAAACAAGCCCCGGUCCGCGCACGUCCCCUGGGUCUGCAGUCUGCCUUGUCCUGAGACUUUGUGGCCUUGGCCCCCAGACCUGGGGCUCCGUUCCCCUUUCUGAGUGCCCUUCUGUGUCCCUGCCUCUCACCCGCUGUCCCCCAGGCUCUCGGUGCCCGCCGGCUUCCUGCUGGCCACCAUCCUUGGGACCGCCUGCCUGGCCAUUGCGAGCGGCAUCUACCUACUGGUGAGUGGCGCCCUCUGAGGUCGGCCCCGGCCACCCCCAUCCCCAGCCCCUGCCCUGACACCCUCGGACACGCAUGGCCCUUGAAGCCGGCUCUGUAGGCUGAGCCAAGGCUGGGAGCAAGUGUGAGCCUGGGCGUGUGCUCACAGCACGG